rnacentral:lncRNA from 1 species
AACAACUAUAAAAUUCAUAUUGAGUUGACAAAAAAUAAUGUUGCAGUCACAUAAGAUAUGAAUCUAUAAAAACAAUUAUAAACGUAUUGUGAAAUCAACAUUAUCGUACAAAACAACACAAACUCUUACAAUUGAAACGGAAGUAGCUAGUUACAAAUCAUUCAAUAAAACAAAUGUAUCACAAUAUAAGUCACCCAGCAAUGAUUAUGCCUUAUAGCUAGGUUGGUUUUCCAUGGAUCCACGUUGUUAUCUCCAUUAAUACAGAGAACACCAUUAAAAUCGCCAAGUUGCACGGAACCAGUUCCUUCUAAAUAUUUCGACAUAGAAUCUUUAUACUGAUCAAUAAAUCGGUGGUUUCGGUAGCACCCUCCUCCCAAUGACUGCUCUACGAAAAAACAUCCUCUGAUGUGAAAGUAAAUUGGUAAUUCUAUAAUAGAAAUAGAAUAUUGUAGUAUUGUACAUAUGAAUGUAUGUUCAGGUUCAGGAAUAUCCCCACCAAUUGUCAUAAUGGUUCCAUGUAAGUAAAAGUACAUGGUAUAAUUG